AGUCCCACCAAUGCGUCAUCCCAGAAACUACGAAAUAGCAGCUGAAAAUCACCAUAAACACCUACAAAACAACACCCUUUUUGCAGCAAAAAUCAGCCACAAAAUGUCACCAGUUUGCUACCGCAAAUCAGGCUAAAACUACUAGUAAAGAACCAACCUUUUCAUCGAGAGGUCCGUCCGAGGUUUCAGUCGAAGUACUAUUUCCAUUUAUCCUGUACAAUCAUGCAUCUGUAGCAAUGGUAUCAUUUCAAGGAAUUUUCAUCUACAAAAAGCUGGUUCUCUAUCUCAACUUCUUGGUAUUUAUUUUAGAUAAGUUUCUUGCUUAUAUGAUUUCAUCCAAUCUUCCAGUGAAUGUUGACGUUGUUCGAUGAAUAUUAAGUGAUUUUUAUUAAAUGUUAGAGCUUAAGUAAAAUUUGGCGUGAAGUUAGAUACAUUGUUGUUUGCAAUUUUUUAGGUUACGUUUGAAUCUUUGCUUCUUAUAUUUAGUAAGAAACUGAUGAAAUUCUAUAAGAUUGGUGUUGAGUAUUGAAGUUUUGAUGAUAACAAAGUGUGACUACCUGCUCAAAGAACCAGGUCCUCAAUGUAGCUGCUUAACUGUUGUGAAGAACCAGGUUCUCAUGGUUAAUACUUGUACGUAUGAACAAGACAGUAACUUUAUCUCAAAGUUACCCAGGUCCGAGUUUGGUGGAAGAUGACUACUAUAAGUGAUAAGGGUCGUUUCCCAAGAAGAUACGGAUAAGUCAGUCAGAGACAGAACUCCCAAAGCUUGUGGAAUCCUUGGAACAGUAGGAGUCCUAUCAAAAUUGACAGAAGAAAGGUUGUUGAUUAGCUGAUCAUUUCCAUUACUCAUUUUAUCCAUUUCAUUCAUUAAGGUCACAAUUAUGGCCAUCAGUUGCUUUUUGGACAUAGCAUGAAUAUUUUCUUUCAAGUCAGAUAUACUUACCUGGUUUGCCUCAUCUUCAGUUUCUGAAUCACUCAUGGCCAUCAUUCCUAUCACUUCUUCCUCUGUUUUUUAUUCUUCAAUCGCCAUUAGAGCCACUUCGAUAUUUUUAUUUCCAAAGUCAGUUUCCAAGGUCCUCCAUAUGUCAUGAGCAGAUAUGCAAGAGGACACUCUGAGGAGGGUGUUUCUAGACAGACUUCUGUAGAGAAAGUCCUUUACUUUAGCAUUUUUCUGAACUAGCUGACGAUUUUCCUCAUCGUAUUCCUCUUCUCUUUUGUUGCACUUGUUACCUUCACCAUCCAAUUUGGUUGGGAGAAUUGGUCCAUGGCUGACAAUUAUCCAUAGGUCAAAGUCAGUAUCCUGAAGAAAUAUUUCCAUACCUAGCUUUCAUUUAUCAUAGUGGUGUUCAUCAAACAAAGGAGGUCUUCCAAUGUGCAUCCCAAGCUGUACUAGAAUUCUGUCUUCAUAGCUUGGUGUUCAUCAAUCAUAGCAUAGAGACUUAUAGCCUCAUCCUCCUUUUCUUUCUCUUGAUCACUCCCACUAUCCUCAUAUGCUGCCAGGAAUGCCUGCUUCAUGGCUUCAGUAAAUCCUUUGCCUAGGAUUUUUCCUUUGUUGGAACCCUUUUCUCUCAUCUUCUCCCGUUUCUCCUUUGCAGCUCGUUCUUUCCUUCGCUCGAUUUCCCAUAUUGGGUAGUCCUUUACCAUGUGAUCUAGCUUUCCACACUUGUAGCACCCAUCAUAGUUAGCUUUGUCGAUCUGCUUAUGCUUACUACUGGUCUCUCUCUUAGAUGCACUUUUGGAAUUCUUCAUGAACCUUUUGAACAUGGCAAAUAUUGCUAGAUCAGGAUCAUCAUAGUCAGAUUCAUCAUCUUUAGAUGCUUUAAGAACUAAGGCCUUAUCCUUCUUUGGUUCUUCUUUGCGCAGUUCUAUCUUUCUCAUUUGAUGAGUUUUUAAGUUUACAACUAACUCAUCAAGUGAGAUUUUAUCCAAUUCCUUGGCUUCCUAGAUUGCAGUGACUUUUGAUUCUCAUGAAGCUGGAAAGAUUCUUAGAACUUUGCUAACCAACUCUUCUGAGAUAAACACCUUUCCAAGUGAUUUCAGUUCAUUGGUUAUUAUAAUGGACCUAGUCAUCAUAUCCUGGAUGGGCCCAGACUCCUUAAUGGAGAAAAACUCAUAGUUUCUCAUGAGUAGUUCAAUCCUUGAUCUCUUUACUUGAUUUAUUCCUUCAUGAGCAGUUUGGAGUACAUCCCAAAUCUACUUCGCAUUAGAGCACACAUAAAUUUUAUUGUACUCAUCAAGACCAAUUCCACAGAUAAGGAUUUUUUUAGCCUUUGCAUUCUUCUCCAUCAUUCUGAAAUCUGCUGCCACAAAUUCGGAGGGGUCCUUAGGAACUGUUUCACUUUGUGCAUUUUGUUUAGUAGGGAAUCAAAGGACCUUGAUUUACUAUGGUCCAUAGUUCAUAGUCUUCAGCUGUCAAGAAAUCUUCCAUCCUUGAUUUCCACCAACUGUAAUAUUUUCCAUUGAACAAGGGUGGUCUGUUAGUUGAUUGUCCUUCAUUAAUUCCAGGUGGAGCACUCAUCUUUCUUCCAAGAUCUCUCUAUGUGUUAGCCGUGUAAAUGAGAGAAACUGCUCUGAUACUAAUUGUUAGUUUGAGUCCCCGUACGGAUUACUAAAGAACUUGGUUCUUUACCAUGUUCCUUAAGCAUAAAGUAAGGAAGAAAUACAAUGAACACUGAGAUUUUUACGUGGAAAUUCACCCGGCUCAAAAGGUGCAAAAAUCACGACCUACCACGUAGGAUUUUCAACUCCAACUCUACUAGAACAAUGAGCCAAAAAUGUAUCGAUUAUAAAACUGUAAUUCAAUACUCUCCAGUACUCCUACUACUCCUAUUUGAUUCACAAGUUACUCUAACUUAUAAAGAAAAAUAUUCAUUCCAACUCACUAACUGUUUAUGACGUUUGAUUACAACUCAAUUUCCUAAAACACAUUCACUAGACUGACUCGAAAGAAUACAAAGCAAGUACUCAACACAAGUAAAAAUAACUUAUGACACUUUAGUUGAUGUGUGAAAGGAUAGUUCAGAAGUCUAAAGUCAAUCCUAUUUAAACAUGACUUGAGAUCUUCUAGGAGUCUAUUCAUAGUCAGCUUUGACAUCAAAGAGCUUGAAUCUGACAAAGCUAGUUUAGAGAAAUAAGUCAAAGGCCUUAAGAACCAGGUUCUUGAACUUACUUCUGAGAAUGAGAAGUCUCCUGAUACACAUGGAAAAGGAAAAAUGAGUGAUCUGCAGGAUAAGCUUGAAAAGGAACUAAAAAUUGCUAAUGAUAAUCUUUAUGAUGUUGAAUGUAGAAAUAAAGUCCUGCAUGAAAACCUAGAAAAAGCUAAUUAUGAACUCUCUAGACUAACAAAUGACAUAGACCUUCUGAUGCCUUGAAUUGGCUACAGAAAACCUGUCCCUAAGUUUGACCCAAAGUAUGUAGGAAUUUCUGAUAAUAACAUGUGCACUCAUUGUGGAAGAGUAGGACACUUUAGAGACACUCGUCCUGCCUUAAUUCAUGCUCAGUUUAUAAACACCUUUGGUAUUGCUAAAAAUGUGAAGAAGGAAGAGGAGCCAAAGGUUAAUCCUCCUGUCCAUAGUAAGUAGAUUAAGGUUAGCAAGAAAAUAACUUCUAAUCCUCUCCCCUUCUGGGCAAGAAGGGAUCUGAUUCAUCCUUUUUCAAAUAAAAAGCAACCCAAUCUAGUCUGGGUUCCCAAAACUAACUUGUGAAUUUUGGUGUAGGCUAAGGUGAAAGGAAACAAUCAGGACUGGUAUCUAGACAGUGGAUGCUCAAGACAUAUUACUGGAGAAAAGGAAAACUUUCUUUCUCUGACAGCCUUCCAAGGAGGGAGUGUGUCAUUUGAAAAUAAGAAAAAGGGCCAGAUAACACAUAUUGGCAAUAUUGGCAAGUCACUCUCUCAUGCUAUAGAAGAUGUGUAUUAUGUGGUAGGUCUUAAACACAAUUUUCUUAGCAUAUCUCAAAUGUGGGACAGAGGAAAUGGGGUAAAAUUCAAUUCCAAAAUUUGCACUGUCACUAAGCUUGAUACUGAUGAAAUAGUGCUAAAGGGAAAGAGACAUAACAAUAUCUACAAGAUAUCUAUUAUGUCACUUUACCAGAGUGAACGCACAUGCUUGAGUGUAGUGGAAGAUGAUCCACUACUAUAGCAUAAAAGACUGGGACAUGCCAGUCUCUCUCAACUCAAUAAGUUGGCAGUAAAGGACUUGGUCCUUAGGCUACCUAAAGUUGAGUUCAGUGUUAGAGGGAAACAUGUUAGGUCAUCCUUUAAAUCUAAGAAGUUUGUAAGUACUUCGAAAUCUCUAGAACUCCUUCACAUGGAUCUAUGUGGACCAAUGAGAAUAAGGAGCAGAGGAGGUAAGAGGUAUGUGUUUAUGAUUGUUGAUGACUUCUCCAGGUAUACCUGUACUUUGUUUUUGGGAUCCAAAGAUGAAACCUUUGAUGUUUUAUGUGAAUUUGUCAGAAUGAUUCAACAAAAGAUAAGUUGUAAUAUUUAAAGUAUAAGAACUGACCAUGGAACUGAAUUUGAAAAUUCAAAAUUUCUUGAGUUCUGUGGCUCACAUGGCAUUGACCAUAAUUUCUCUGCACCUAUAACUCCACAACAAAAUGGAGUUAUAGAAAGAAAGAAUAGAUCCUUAGAAGACAUGGGGAGGAGCAUGUUGAUUUCCAGUGGACUGCGUAAGAAUUUCUGGGCCGGGGCAAUCAAUACUGCUUGCUAUAUGCUAAAUAGAUGCAUGGUCAGACCCAUUCUUGAGUAAACUCUCUAUGAGUUACUUCGAGGAAGAAAAUCCAACAUUACUCACCUGAGAGCCUUUGGGUGCAAAUAUUUUGUGCAUAAUAAUAGGAAAGAAGCUCUAGGUAAGUUUGAUGACAGAAGUGAUGAGGGAAUUUUCUUGGGUUACUCUCCACAUAGUAAGGUCUAUAAGGUUUUUAAUAAAAGAACUAUGUGUGUGGAAGAAAAUAUUCAUGUUAUUUUUGAUGAAUCUAACAAUUUGGCUGAGAAAGGUCUGCAGGAUGAAGAUUAUGAUAUAUGAUUCACUGGUGAUGGAGAUACAAAGGAAUCUGAUGAAGAUGGAUCUAAAACCACAAGGAAAAUGACAGUGAUCAUGAGGAACAAGAAGAAGAAAAAACUACUCUAACUGCUGACCAGACAAAUGAAGCCACACCUACUGAACCUGCUCCUUUGGAUCACUCCUUAGGAGAAUCUUCUCUGGGUAUACAGAUCAGACCAUGGAAGCAUCAAAGCUCACACCCUCUUGAGAAUAACAUCUCUAAUCCAAAUGCAGGGGUACAAACCAGGUCUUCUCUAAGAAAUCUAUGUACACUCACAACAUUCCUCUCACAGGUUGAACCUAAGACCAUCAAAGAAGCUCUAAAGGAUCCUGACUAGAUCAUAACCAUACAAGAGGAGCUAAAUUAGUUUGAGAGAAGCAAGGUCUGGCACCUGGUACAUAAACCCAAGAACAGAACUGUCAUAUGUACCAUAUGGGUGUUCAGAAACAAGUUGGAUGAACAAGGAAAUAUCACAAGGAACAAGGCCAGACUAGUGAUUCAUGGAUACAAUCAAGAUGAGGGCAUUGACUAUGAUGAGACAUUUGCACCUGUAGCUAGAAGGGAGGCUAUAAGAAUGUUGAUAGCCUUUGAUGCCCACAUGGAAUUCACUUUAUACCAGAUGGAUGUGAAGAGUGCCUUUUUGAAUGGGUACCUGAAGGAGGAAGUGUUUGUCAAACAACCUCCUGAAUUUGAAAGUGAAGAAUUUCCUGACAAUGUAUUCAAACUGGAUAAAGCUCUUUGUGGUCUAAAACAGGCUCCUAGAGCUUGGUAUGAAAGGCUCUCAAAAUUCCUCUUAGCCAACAACUUUAUAAGAGGAAAGGUAGACAACACUUUAUUUCUAAGGAGCAAAGGGAAGAAUAUUCUGAUUGUACAAGUGUAUGUGGAUGAUAUUAUCUUCAAGGCCACCAAUGAAGCAAUAUGCAAGGAAUUAGUGUCAUUCUCAUCUUCACUAUACCCCCUCGUUCAAAAUAAACUACCCAUGCACCUGAGCUUGCUACAAAAAAUACCUCUAAGACAGCAAAGGUCAAAGCAACUUCAAGAAUAUUUGUCAAGAUAAUGCAUGAGGCUGCUACGCAGGGUGACACUGUAGUCAAGGAAUCUGUGAUUCAGGGGGAAUCAGGUAUAGGCACUACUGAUCAGAUACCACAUCCUAUUUCCAAGUUAGAUGUUUUGGCCUCUGCUAUAGAUGUUGCACCCCUAGAUACUCUUCCACCUACUAGUGACAGGUCACUAGUGGAAAAAUUCACGGUAGAAGAGCGUAUAGGGGAUCUAGGAAAGGAGGUAGAUACAACGGCUGUGGAGCCUGUGGUUGAGUGGGAAGGACGUAAAGAACCAGUGCAAAAGGAAGCUUCUGAUGGCUUUGAUUUCAGUUGGACUAAGGACGAGGAAGAUGAUAAAGGUGAAAAAGAAGAAGAAGUUGUGACCAGGCAUGAGGAACAUGAUGCUCAAAACAUAGCCAAUGAAGAAGAAAAGAGUGAGAAUGAGGGAGUAUCUAGAGAUAAGGAGGAGAGUGAUACAUAGGAUAAGACAGGUGAACAUGAUAAUAAUUAUGCAGAAGAAGAAAAUCAGAGUGAAGAAGAGGAGGUUUCUGAAAGUGAGGGUGAGGAUCAAGAAAAUAUAAGUGAGAGUGAAGGAGGUGAUGACGAGAGUAAGGAAGAAGAGGGGAAUGUGAGUGAGGAAUCUGAAGGUUCCAUGACAAUUGGAAACACUGUCAUAGCCCCUUUAGAAGAAAUUGGUGAAGAGACAAUGGCUCAAGAACCUGGGUAUAUGUUAACUCCUUUCACUGGAGAUGAAGAAGUUAGCAGUGACGAAGAUGAUAUGCCACUAUCUGAGGUAGGAAAGAAGAACAGAAAGACCACUAUGAAAGAUACAAAGACAGCAGUCUCAACAAGGAAAUGAGUGGUUCCUCCUGCUAGAACUCCCCUCACAAGGAGUAAAAUAAAGGUCAUUGAUGCACAAAUCAUGAAGGAGUCCAAAAGUGCAAAGAUGCCAAAGAAGAAAGUUUAAAUUGUGGAACCUUUUGUUGAGGUGGAUGAAGAAGAUGAAUCUGACUCAGCCUUGCCAGCAAAGUCUGCCACACCAAAGAAAAAGGGAGACAAAGUCACCAAACAUGCUACCUCUUCUGCAAAGGCUAGUAAGGGUAAGACAAGAAAGAAUGUGCCAGCUGCAGUUGAUCGACUCACAGAGUUCAGAAACAGAAAAGUGCUAAAUUGGAAGAUUCUUGCGAACACUGGUGAGAAGGGAAUGGCUCAACUGGUUGAGAAACAUGAGCUACAGGGGUGGAAUCACAUAUUUGCCAAAGCUUUUCCCCCAGUAUGUGUUCCUGCUGUGGUGGAGUUCUACACAAAUUUUACUUUUGAUGGGAAGUUAGUUAAGAGUAAAGUAGGGGGCUUCGACAUGGAGUUUGAUGCUGAGGAAUUGGGGGCUGCUUCUGAAUAUCCCUUCUUUGGGAUUUGACAAUUAUUUAAAGAAGAAGUGGCCAGCCAUAGACAAUGAUGCUGACACAGGCAUUGUGGUCAUCAGAAAGUUCUCCCAAAAGUUUGAACUAGAUGCUCCCCAGAAAGUGUACAAGACUGAUAUGAUUCCCUUUCACAAGCUACUGUUUUAGUUUGUCAACUCUUGUAUUCUUUAGAGGUUUGAGAGAAGGCAUGAAGCCACUCUGCUAGACAUAGCUGUGAUGGAACUGCUUGACACUGGUCGACCUAUCAAUCUUCCUAGCCUGAUAAUUCAACACAUGGCAAGAGCUGCAGAUACUUCCAAACUAAAGCAUGUUAUGCCAUAUGGUUUCAUGUUGAUUGAGUUAUUUGACAAGCUCAACAUUGCCUUGCCUGAGCUUAAGUUUGGAAACCACAAUGAUGUUUUGUAUGUUGUUACCCUCAAGCAGUGUGGCUAUGAGGACAAGGCUAGAUUACCCAUAAGAUCUGCCAUUCUUCCUGGGAGCAGUAAGGUUGCAGAACUCAGCAAAAGGUUGGAUUUGGCUGUUGAAGAGAAUGCCAAGCUUCGUGAAGACAAUAAUGAGCUGAGAAAGGAAACAAAGCAACUCAGGGAAGAGCUUAGAAGAGACAGGAGACCCAUGCUCAACAGAUUGCUACCCUUGUGAAAGCUUUGACCCCCUCUGCUUCUCACCCUUAAACCCGUUCCUUCCCGGUGUCCUUAGUUCUUUUACUAUUCUAGUGAUGCCUUAUCUUUUGUUCCUUUUGUCUUAGUCUGAGUAGUUGGAAGUAUGCUUAGUUUAUUUUGUUAUACUGAUAAAGACAAGGCCCUGGGCUUAGUCUGAGUAGUUGGAAGUAUGCUUAGUUUAUUUUGUUAUACUGAUAAAGACAAGGCCCUGGGCUUCUUUUGGCACUACUUAAUGUCUCCUAUUAAUCUGCUUUACUGCUUUGUACUCUAUUGGAUCAUCAACCUAGUUUAUUUGCCUUUUCUUAUGCUUGUGUUGUCGCCUGUUUGGCCAUGAAUCUUACAUUAUAUGUGCUUAACGUAUUACAUGUGUUUGUGUUCUUUCGAUGAUGCCAAAAGGGGAAAGAUAAGGUUGGAAGGUUGGUGUGUUGUGAACAUACAUGUAUGUCAAAAGUACUUGUUGUGAUCAUCUGGCUCUUUGAUGUGAUUGCCUGCUUCUGUGUACAAAGUUUGUCAUCAUCAAAAAGGGGAAUUUGUUGAGUAUUGAAGUUUUGAUGAUUAAUAAAGUGUGACUACCUGCUCAAAGAACUAGGUCCUCAAUGUAGCUGC
rnacentral:lncRNA from 1 species